AUUGAACGCUGGAGGCAGGCCUAACACAUGCAAGUCGAGCGAGCGGCGGACGGGUGAGAAAUGUAUGGGGACUGCCCGAUAGAGGGGGAUAACUACUGGAAACGGUAGCUAAUACCGCAUACUAUCGGAUAACCCAUAUGGGAUUAGCUAGUAGGUGAGGUAAUGGCUCACCUAGGCGACGAUCCCUAGCUGGUCUGAGAGGAUGAUCAGCCACACUGUGACUGAGACACGGCCCAGACUCCUACGGAGGCAGCAGUGGGGAAUAUUGCACAAUGGGCGCAAGCCUGAUGCAGCCAUGCCGCGUGUAUGAAGAAGGCCCUAGGGUUGUAAAGUACUUGCAGUCGGGAGGCGUUACAUACGGAAGAAGCAGUGUCUAACUCCGUGCCAGCAGCCGCGGUAAUUC
rnacentral:rRNA from 1 species